GAGUGGGCAUGCCACAUCACAAGGGCCAACCAGAACUGGCUCAUCUCCCAUCAAGCCAAGUUCCUGGAGGAGAUCACCCAGCUCGUCAUGCUAGCGCACUUUUUCAAUUGGCCCCGAUGCAUUCAUAUGUCAUCCAUAUCAACUUUCGAUGCAAUUUACUGUGCCUACCAUGGUGACCAUGGGUAAUGGGGAAUCAGGGUUCGAUUCUGGAGAGGGAGCCUGAGAAACGGCUACCACAUGCAAGGAAAGGCA